rnacentral:rRNA from 1 species
AUUGAACGCUGGCGGCAGGCCUAACACAUGCAAGUCGAGCGAGCGGCGGACGGGUGAGUAAUGUCCGGGAAACUGCCUGAUGGAGGGGGAGAACUACUGGAAACGGUAGCUAAUACCGCAUACCAUCAGAUGUGCCCAGAUGGGAGAAGCUGGUAGGUGGGGUAACGGCUCACCUAGGCGACGAACCCUAGCUGGUCUGAGAGGAUGACCAGCAACAUUGGAACUGAGACACGGUCCAGACUCGUACGGGAGGCAGCGGUGGGGAAUAUUGGACAAUGGGCGCAAGCCUGAUGCAGACAUGCCGCGUGUGUGAAGAAGGCCUUCGGGUUGUAAAGCCCUUUCAGCGGGGAGGCGUUACCCGCAGAAGAAGCACCGGCUAACUCCGUGCCAGCAGCCGCGGUAAUUC